CCUACGGUGAGCAGCAGUGGGGAAUAUUGCACAAUGGGGGAAACCCUGAUGCAGCGACGCCGCGUGAGCGAGGAAGUAUUUCGGUAUGUAAAGCUCUAUCAGCAGGGACGAAAAAAGACGGUACCUGACUAAGAAGCCCCGGCUAACUACGUGCCAGCAGCCGCGGUAAUACGUAGGGGGCAAGCGUUAUCCGGAUUUACUGGGUGUAAAGGGAGCGUAGACGGCAAGGCAAGCCAGAAGUGAAAGGGCAGGGCUCAACCCUGUACAUGCUUUUGGAACUGUGGUGCUAGAGUGCAGGAGAGGUAAGUGGAAUUCCUAGUGUAGCGGUGAAAUGCGGAGAUAUUUGGAAGAACACCGAUGGCGAAGGCAGCCCCCUGGGACGCAACUGACGCGCAUACACGAAAGCGUGGGGAGCAAACAGGAUUAGAUACCCGUGUAGUC
rnacentral:rRNA from 1 species